GGAAGAGAUAUUACAAUCUAUACUAUUAAUUGGGAAGGACAACUUGAAGCCAAGCACCCCCAAUUUAAAAAAAAAAAUUUCAUGAAAUAUAUUCCAAUUGCCAAACAGAAUUAAUGACAGCAAAAAAAAAAAAACAAAAACAAAAAUUAUCUAUAUUUAUGGAAAGAAAAAAUUGCACAAUAACCUACUUUUACUCAAACUAUUAACCAAAAAACCCACUUCUUGUUACCUCUAUACUUUCCACUAUGAAAAUGACUAUUAACCCCUUCAAAAUCUUUAACUCUUUUC
rnacentral:lncRNA from 1 species